CUGUUCUUAUUUUGUAGUUUUGUGACCUAAAAAAACAAGCAAUCACAUACAUGGAUCCAUUUGGUGAAGAAGAGGAAAAGAAAAAUGACAUUCUGAUGAACUGGAGUUCUUUUGCCAAAGCUAAGGGCUGCUCCUUUAAAUGGUCAUGGACUGAUGUGCCCCAUCCACGACAGGAGGAUGGACAUUCCUGUGGUGUCCAUGUGUUAAUGUUUGCUCAGGCCCUGCUUGAUGGCCAAAUAUUGGUGGAGG